UACAGAGGUCUCAAGCGUUGUUCGGAUUCAUUGGGCGUAAAGGGUGCGUAGGUGGCGCUGUAAGUCGGGUGUGAAAUUUCGGAGCUUAACUCCGAAACUGCAUUCGAUACUGCGGUGCUUGAGGACUGGAGAGGAGACUGGAAUUCAUGGUGUAGCAGUGAAAUGCGUAGAGAUCAUGAGGAAGACCAGUGCGAAGGCGGGUCUCUGGACAGUUCCUGACACUGAGGCACGAAGGCCAGGGGAGCAAACGGG
rnacentral:rRNA from 1 species